AUUGAACGCUGGCGGCAGGCUUAACACAUGCAAGUCGAGCGGUAACAGAGAGAAGCUUGCUUCUCUGCUGACGAGCGGCGGACGGGUGAGUAAUGCCUAGGAAUCUGCCUAGUAGCGGGGGAUAACUUGCCGAAAGGUAAGCUAAUACCGCAUACGUCCUACGGGAGAAAGGAGGGGACCUUCGGUCCUGUCGCUCUUAGAUGCGCCUAGGUCGGAUUAGUUAGUUGGUGAGGUAAUGGCUCACCAAGACCGCGAUCCGUAACUGGUCUGAGAGGAUGAUCAGUCACACUGGAACUGAGACACGGUCCAGACUCCUACGGGAGGCAGCAGUGGGGAAUAUUGGACAAUGGGGGGAACCCUGAUCCAGCCAUGCCGCGUGUGUGAAGAAGGUCUUAGGAUUGUAAAGCACUUUAAGUUGGGAGGAAGAGCAGUUAACUAAUAUUUGACUGUUUUGACGUUACCGACAGAAUAAGCACCGGCUAACUUCGUGCCAGCCGCCGCAGUAA
rnacentral:rRNA from 1 species